GCUACUAUAUACAUUUCAAAUGUCUUACGUACGUUCAAAACGGUUUCUCCGAUCCUCACACUUCAUAUCUUCUUAUGACUUUUUUUUUUGUUUUCUGUCAAUACCUAAUUUUGAUACUGACUGCAUACAGACAUAUUUUGUUUCUAAUUGUGGAAAUCAUCAACAACCUUUGAAUUUCCUCCGAGGAAAAAGGAAAGAUUGGAUAUGACCAUAAGACCCUUGGUUUUAGAUGGCGGGAAAGUGUAUUCAUAAUCCUGCUAUUAACUUUGAGAGGCGCUUACGUACGUGUGGUGGAGCCGUUGAUCCUGGAACUUCGUGUUUUUUUUGCUUCACAUGCAUGAUCGGUGUAACAAUAACGUUAGGAUACGUCAGCCAGCCGAUAACAAACAUGGUCAUUUUUUAUUAGCCUCUCUCUAUUGAUCUUCUUCUUCUUCUACAUAGCUAGCAGCCAUGACAAAGGAAGUGGUUGAAAGAUUGGUGGUAGAGAUGCACGUAAUGGCAAAGAAGAAACACUUUUAAAUGGUCUUUAUAUUUUGAGAUGUAUUGAUUGACUAGUAGUAUCUUUUUCCUUUUCUUUGGUCUUCAGAAAAUAAAGAGAAAAAGGCAGUAGCCAGUAGCAACGACGAGAAUAAGUGAUUAUUCUUCAGUGAUAUUAGGACAAAAAAAGUUAGUGUGACUCAUAUACAUCUUUUUUUAAGUAUCAUAAAAGUUUGGGAUUCUUUAA